AUGAGGUGACGUCAGUUCAGAGACCAGCAGGCAGGGCUUGAGCUCUGUUUUACACACUCCCCGAUUGUUUUAACGGGUCUGCUCUUGAAGGACUCCAAAUCUCUCCCCGAGCUAAGCUUUAUUAAAAUGGCAAAGAUGGAGAGGAAUGCUUUUCCUGAGAAAUCAGCUUAUUUAGGCUCUGCUUUCUCCCCUCUCCCCCUGACUACAGGCAAGUGCUCCUGGAGGGAAGGAGGAAGAACUGAGAAGUGCAGGCAGGCCCUCUUAGGAACCUCUCUCAAGGUCAAAGAGGACAACCUUUCAAGACAGAGAAGGACUAGGCUUUGGAGGCCUGAAGAACAGAGGCCAUGACUGCUUCACUUAAUGUCUGCUACUCCAGCAUUGUGUCUGGCACAGCACUUUCCCUUACCUGCUCGAUGUCACCACCUAUUGCUGCUGGGAGCCAGGGCACAUUGGUCACCCUCCCUGAGUGGAAGAGAGCAGAAAAGACAGCCAAACAGCAGUGAAAUGAAUCACAUCAAUUCACAUGAAGUCUGGUCAACCCAGAGUGAGAAGAUUAAACUGUCUCUAGAAAGGACGAAUACCCACCAUUUGCUUCAACGUGGAUGGAACUGGAUGGUAUUAUGCUGAGUGAAGUGUAUAGUCCUUGGGGAAAAUAAAGAGACCCCCCCGCCACAUGCACACACCCUGAUUAAUGGAUAUUUUACACGUGGAAUGAUGGGUCAAGGAAGAGUCACAGUAGUCUGUGGAAAAACCUGGACUGCUGGUGUUUUGUCUUAAAAAGACACUCAGAUUUAGUAAAUGGUCUCAAGUUCCUGGAAAUGUGUGCAGAGACCCUGUGGCCAAGAGAAGAUCUAUCAUUUUAUUCUUUAGAGUAGGCUGAAAUAUAUUUGGAAGUCAUCGGACUGUGGCUGUCCUACAUCAAAAGGCAUUUCAUAACAAAACAUCAUCAUGCCCCAUUUAUAGAAAUAGCAUGCUGUGUUUUGGCUGCUGUGGGCAAAUAAAAUAUGUUCUUGUAACAUAAACAGCCUCACCUUACUUCUAAAACUAAAGGGCCAUAAAAGAUUUAUUUAAACAGGCUUUUGACAUAUAGAGACACAUA